rnacentral:rRNA from 1 species
AACGAACGCUGGCGGCGUGCUUAACACAUGCAAGUCGCACGAGAAAUCCCGGGCAACUGGGAGAGUAAAGUGGCGCACGGGUGAGUAACGCGUGGGUAACCUGCCCUUGAAUUGGGGAUAACACCGCGAAAGCGGUGCUAAUACCGAAUAAUAUCUUCAUUCCCACGGGAGUGGAGAUCAAAGAUGGCCUCUGCAUGCAAGCUAUCGUUUAAGGAUGGGCCCGCGUACAUUAGCUUGUUGGUAGGGUAAUGGCCUACCAAGGCUUCGAUGGUUAGCUGGUCUAAGAGGAUGGCCAGCCACACCGGAACUGAGACACGGUCCAGACUCCUACGGGAGGCAGCAGUGGGGAAUCUUGCGCAAUGGGGGAAACCCUGACGCAGUAACGCCGCGUGGGUGAUGAAGGCCUUCGGGUCGUAAAGCCCUGUCAAGUGGGAAGAAACGUGAUGAGAUCAAUACCCUCAUCAUUUGACGGUACCACUGGAGGAAGCACCGGCUAACUCCGUGCCAGCCGCCGCAGUAAGAC